UGGGAAUUUUGGACAAUGGGCGAAAGCCUGAUCCAGCAAUGCCGCGUGUGUGAAGAAGGCCUUCGGGUUGUAAAGCACUUUUGUCCGGAAAGAAAUCCUUGGCUCUAAUACAGUCGGGGGAUGACGGUACCGGAAGAAUAAGCACCGGCUAACUACGUGCCAGCAGCCGCGGUAAUACGUAGGGUGCAAGCGUUAAUCGGAAUUACUGGGCGUAAAGCGUGCGCAGGCGGUUUGCUAAGACCGAUGUGAAAUCCCCGGGCUCAACCUGGGAACUGCAUUGGUGACUGGCAGGCUAGAGUAUGGCAGAGGGGGGUAGAAUUCCACGUGUAGCAGUGAAAUGCGUAGAGAUGUGGAGGAAUACCGAUGGCGAAGGCAGCCCCCUGGGCCAAUACUGACGCUCAUGCACGAAAGCGUGGGGAGCAAACAGGAUUAGAUACCCUGGUAGUCCACGCCCUAAAACGAUGUCAACUAGUUGUUGGGGAUUCAUUUCCUUAGUAACGUAGCUAACGCGUGAAGUUGACCGCCUGGGGAGUACGGUCGCAAGAUUAAAACUUCAAAUGAAUUGACGGGGUCAUAGCUGUUUCCU
rnacentral:rRNA from 1 species